UACGUAGGAUGCAAGCGUUGUCCGGAUUUAUUGGGUUUAAAGGGAGCGUAGGCGGCAUAUUAAGUUAGUGGUAAAAAGGUUCGGCUUAACCGGAUACCCGCCAUUGAUACUGAUAGACUUGAGUGCGACAGAGGGUGUUGGAAUGUGUGGUGUAGCGGUGAAAUGCUUAGAUAUCACGCAGAACACCAAUUGCGAAGGCAGAUGCCUAUGUCGUAACUGACGCUGAGGCACGAAAGCGUGGGGAGCAAACAGG
rnacentral:rRNA from 1 species